rnacentral:rRNA from 1 species
AAGUUUUAAAUGGCCGCAGUAUUUUGACUGUGUAAAGGUAGCAUAAUCAUUAGUUUCUUAAUUAGAAGCUUGUAUGAAAGGUUGGAUGAGAAAAUUACUGUCUCUAUUUAAAUUAAUUAGAAUUUUAUAUUUAAGUAAAAAAGCUUAAAUAUACAUAGAAGACGAGAAGACCCUAUAGAGUUUUAUAUUAUUAUUAUUUAUAUUUUUUAGUAUUAUAAUUAUAUAUAUAUAAUUAAUUAUUUGAUUGGGGUGAUUAAAAAAUUUAUUAAACUUUUUUUUUAUUAUUUCAUUAAUUUAUGAAUUAUUGAUCCUUAAUUUAAGAUUAAAAGAAUAAAUUACCUUAGGGAUAACAGCGUAAUUUUUUUUAAGAGUUCUAAUCAAAAAAAAAGUUUGC